AAAGGAAGUUGACGGGGAGCACCACAACGGGUGGAGCUUGCGGUUUAAUUGGAUUCAACGCCGGAAUCUUACCGGGACCGACAGCAAUAUGAAGGCCAGGCUGAAGACUUUGCCGGAUUAGCUGAGAGGUGGUGCAUGGCCGUCGUCAGUUCGUACUGUGAAGCAUCCUGUUAAGUCAGGCAACGAGCGAGACCCACGCCCACAGUUGCCAGCGUACUCUCCGGAGUGACGGGUACACUGUGGGACCGCCGCUGCUAAAGCGGAGGAAGGAAUGGGCAACGGUAGGUCAGUAUGCCCCGAAUAUCCCGGGCUACACGCGAGCUACAAUGGUUGGUACAAUGGGUAUCUACCCCGAAAGGGGACGGGAAUCUCCUAAAACCAAUCUUAGUUCGGAUUGAGGGCUGCAACUCGCCCUCAUGAAGCUGGAAUCCGUAGUAAUCGCGUUUCAACAGAACGCGGUGAAUACGUCCCUGCUCCUU
rnacentral:rRNA from 1 species